GCCGGCAUAGCACAGUGGUAGUGCAGCGGUUUUGUAAACCGAAGGUCGCGAGUUCAAAUCUUGCUGCCGGCA
rnacentral:tRNA from 1 species